rnacentral:rRNA from 1 species
AACAACCCAGACCGCCAGCUAAGGUCCCAAAGUCAUGGUUAAGUGGGAAACGAUGUGGGAAGGCCCAGACAGCCAGGAUGUUGGCUUAGAAGCAGCCAUCAUUUAAAGAAAGCGUAAUAGCUCACUGGUCGAGUCGGCCUGCGCGGAAGAUGUAACGGGGCUAAACCAUGCACCGAAGCUGCGGCAGCGACACUGUGUGUUGUUGGGUAGGGGAGCGUUCUGUAAGCCUGUGAAGGUGUGUCGUGAGGCAUGCUGGAGGUAUCAGAAGUGCGAAUGCUGACAUAAGUAACGAUAAAGCGGGUGAAAAGCCCGCUCGCCGGAAGACCAAGGGUUCCUGUCCAACGUUAAUCGGGGCAGGGUGAGUCGACCCCUAAGGCGAGGCCGAAAGGCGUAGUCGAUGGGAAACGGGUUAAUAUUCCCGUACUUGGUGUUACUGCGAAGGGGGGACGGAGAAGGCUAUGUUGGCCGGGCGACGGUUGUCCCGGUUUAAGCGUGUAGGUGUGUGUUCCAGGUAAAUCCGGUUCACUUUAACACUGAGGCGUGACGACGAGGCACUACGGUGCUGAAGCAACAAAUGCCCUGCUUCCAGGAAAAGCCUCUAAGCAUCAGGUAACAUCAAAUCGUACCCCAAACCGACACAGGUGGUCAGGUAGAGAAUACCAAGGCGCUUGAGAGAACUCGGGUGAAGGAACUAGGCAAAAUGGUGCCGUAACUUCGGGAGAAGGCACGCUGACACGUAGGUGAAGUGAUUUACUCAUGGAGCUGAAGUCAGUCGAAGAUACCAGCUGGCUGCAACUGUUUAUUAAAAACACAGCACUGUGCAAACACGAAAGUGGACGUAUACGGUGUGACGCCUGCCCGGUGCCGGAAGGUUAAUUGAUGGGGUCAGCGCAAGCGAAGCUCCUGAUCGAAGCCCCGGUAAACGGCGGCCGUAACUAUAACGGUCCUAAGGUAGCGAAAUUCCUUGUCGGGUAAGUUCCGACCUGCACGAAUGGCGUAAUGAUGGCCAGGCUGUCUCCACCCGAGACUCAGUGAAAUUGAACUCGCUGUGAAGAUGCAGUGUACCCGCGGCAAGACGGAAAGACCCCGUGAACCUUUACUAUAGCUUGACACUGAACAUUGAGCCUUGAUGUGUAGGAUAGGUGGGAGGCUUUGAAGUGUGGACGCCAGUCUGCAUGGAGCCGACCUUGAAAUACCACCCUUUAAUGUUUGAUGUUCUAACGUGGACCCGUUACCCGGGUUGCGGACAGUGUCUGGUGGGUAGUUUGACUGGGGCGGUCUCCUCCUAAAGAGUAACGGAGGAGCACGAAGGUUGGCUAAUCCUGGUCGGACAUCAGGAGGUUAGUGCAAUGGCAUAAGCCAGCUUGACUGCGAGCGUGACGGCGCGAGCAGGUGCGAAAGCAGGUCAUAGUGAUCCGGUGGUUCUGAAUGGAAGGGCCAUCGCUCAACGGAUAAAAGGUACUCCGGGGAUAACAGGCUGAUACCGCCCAAGAGUUCAUAUCGACGGCGGUGUUUGGCACCUCGAUGUCGGCUCAUCACAUCCUGGGGCUGAAGUAGGUCCCAAGGGUAUGGCUGUUCGCCAUUUAAAGUGGUACGCGAGCUGGGUUUAGAACGUCGUGAGACAGUUCGGUCCCUAUCUGCCGUGGGCGCUGGAGAACUGAGGGGGGCUGCUCCUAGUACGAGAGGACCGGAGUGGACGCAUCACUGGUGUUCGGGUUGUCAUGCCAAUGGCACUGCCCGGUAGCUAAAUGCGGAAGAGAUAAGUGCUGAAAGCAUCUAAGCACGAAACUUGCCCCGA